GAUGAAGAACGUAGCGAAAUGCGAUAAGUAAUGUGAAUUGCAGAAUUUCCGUGAGUCAUCGAAUCUUUGAACGCACAUUGCGCCCAUUAGUAUUCUAGUGGGCAUGCCUGUUCGAGCGUCAUUAAUUCCACUUAAGCCCUGCUUAGUGUUGGGAAUCUACUCUAGUGGUGCUACCCUGGAGCUACCCCUGAAAGGGGGCUGGCCCGGUAGCUACCCUGUAGUUCCUCAAAGAUAGUGCGCGGAGUUGCGUGGUCCUCUGAGCUUAGUAACUAUACACCUAGCUUUUGAGUGUCCCGCGGCGCCUGCCGUUUAAACCCCAUCUUUUAAUGGUUGACCUCGGAUCAGGUAGGAAUACCCGCUGAACUUAAGCAUAUCAAUAAGCGGAGGA
rnacentral:misc_RNA from 1 species